rnacentral:rRNA from 1 species
GCUCAGGAUGAACGCUAGCGGCAGGCCUAAUACAUGCAAGUCGAACGAUAUUUUCCAGCUUGCUGGGAGAGAAAGUGGCGCACGGGUGCGUAACGCGUAUGCAACCUACCUUCAUCAGGGGGAUAGCCCGGAGAAAUCCGGAUUAAUACCGCAUAAAAUCACAGGAUGGCAUUAUCCAAUGAUCAAACAUUUAUGGGAUGGAGAUGGGCAUGCGUGUCAUUAGCUAGUUGGCGGGGUAACGGCCCACCAAGGCGACGAUGACUAGGGGAUCUGAGAGGAUGGCCCCCCACACUGGUACUGAGACACGGACCAGACUCCUACGGGAGGCAGCAGUAAGGAAUAUUGGUCAAUGGAGGCAACUCUGAACCAGCCAUGCCGCGUGCAGGAAGACUGCCCUAUGGGUUGUAAACUGCUUUUAUCCGGGAAUAAACCUCUGCUCGUGAGCAGAGC